rnacentral:sRNA from 1 species
UGUAACAGGAAAAGGGAACAGCUCUGAAAGCAUUGAAGCUAUAAGAGAAUAUGAAGAAGAGUUUUUUCAGAAUUCAAAGCUCCUAAAGACAAGCAUGCUAAAGGCACACCAAGUGACUACAAGAAAUUUAAGCCUUGCAGUAUCAGACUGCUUUUGGAAAAUGGUACGAGAGUCUGUUGAACAACAGGCUGAUAGUUUCAAAGCAACACGUUUUAACCUUGAAACUGAAUGGAAGAAUAACUAUCCUCGCCUGCGGGAACUUGACCGGGUAAUAUUUGGAUACUCGUGAAUUUUGUAUAUAUCUUAAUUUAAUGUUGUGUGCUAACUAAAUUUAUGUUGAGAGAAAAAUCUGAUAAGCUAAAUUACUUUGGUUUUGACUAUAACUACUAAUUUGUAAGAAUACAUCUCUAGGAGCACUUAUCUCUUUCAAUAAUUUAAAUUAUUUGUUAUGUAACAUUAAAAAUGGAUUAUAAGAUGUCAAAACAAGUGUUGAAAGUGUUUUCUGAGAAGGUAAUGAAUGUGCUUUAAAGGUUUUGUAGAAUUCGUGUAUUCCUGUAAUUUAAUGGGAAUUAAACAUUGUUUUUCCUUGAUUUU